AGAAAUGCAGAGAUGUGGAAUAGUACAGUCCGUGAAAUGCAGAGAGAGCCGUUGGCCGGUGGAAAACGGAGAGGAAGCGGAUUGGAACUCGCCAUGGAGCAGCCCGCUGAUAUGUAGGUGGGGACGGAGGCUGACCGUUACAGCAGCAGGAUAUGUCAGUAUCCGUUAAAGUGCGUGCAGGGAUGCACGAAUAAGAGUGGUAACACGCAGGCCGGGCCUUCGUCUCUUGG
rnacentral:ncRNA from 1 species